rnacentral:rRNA from 1 species
AACGAACGCUGGCGGCAUGCCUAACACAUGCAAGUCGAACGAGACCUUCGGGUUUAGUGGCGCACGGGUGCGUAACGCGUGGGAACCUGCCCUUAGGUUUGGAAUAACUCCCCGAAAGGGGUGCUAAUACCGGAUAAUGUCUUCGGACCAAAGAUUUAUCGCCUUUGGAUGGGCUCGCGUUGGAUUAGCUAGUUGGUAGGGUAAAAGCGUACCAAGGCUAGGAUCCAUAGCUGGUCAGAGAGGCAGAUCAGCCACACUGGGACGGGGAAACGGCCCAGAAUCCUACGGGAGGGGGGAGUGGCGGAUAUAGGAAAAUGGGCGAAAGCAUGAUGCAGUAAGGACGGGUGAGUGAUGAAGGCCUUGGGGUAGGAAAGUUAUUUUACCCGGGAUGAUAAUGACAGUACCGAGAGAAUGGGCACCGGCUAACUCCGUG